UGACUGGCACCAUACUGGAUAA
rnacentral:miRNA from 1 species